AACGAACGCUGGCGGCAUGCCUAACACAUGCAAGUCGACCGAACCCUUCGGUGUUAGUGGCGCACUGGUGCGUAACUCGUGGGAAUCUGCCCUUGGCGUCGGAAUCCCAUUUAGAAAUGACUGCUAAUAGCUGAUGAUGUCUUCGUACCACAGAUUUAUCGGCCAGGGAUGAGCCCGCGUAGGAUUAGGUAGUUGGUGGGGUAAAGGCCUACCAAGCCGACGAUCCGUAGCUGGUCUGAGAGGAGGAUCAGCCACACGGGGACGGAGACACGGCCCAGACUCCGACGGGAGGCAGCAGUGGGGAAGAUUGGACAAGGGGAGCAAGACGGAUCCAGCAAGGCCGCGGGAGUGAUGAAGGCCCGCGGGGCGUAAAGCUCUUUUACCCGGGAUGAUAAUGACAGUACCGGGAGAAUAAGCCCCGGCUAACUCCGUGCCAGCCGCCGCGGUAA
rnacentral:rRNA from 1 species